rnacentral:rRNA from 1 species
CAGCCGCGUAAUUCCAGCUCCAAUAGCGUAUAUUAAAGUUGUUGCAGUUAAAAAGCUCGUAGUUGAAUUUCGGGGUCAGUAGGUCGGUCGUGCCACUGGUAUGAACUGGUUUUACUGAUUCCUCCCUCUUGAAGAACUGUAAUGCCAUUAAUUUGGUGUUGCAGGGAAUCAGGACUGUUACUUUGAAAAAAUUAGAGUGUUUAAAGCAGGCUUUAGCUUGAAUACAUUAGCAUGGAAUAAUGAAAUAGGACGUUUGAUCCUAUUUUGUUGGUUUCUAGGAUUGACGUAAUGAUUAAUAGGGAUAGUUGGGGGCAUUAGUAUUCAAUUGUCAGAGGUGAAAUUCUUGGAUUUAUUGAAGACUAACUACUGCGAAAGCAUUUGCCAAGGAUGUUUUCAUUAAUCAAGAACGAAAGUUAGGGGAUCGAAGACGAUCAGAUACCGUCGUAGUCUUAACCAUAAACUAUGCCGACUAGGGAUCGGAUGAUGUUAAUUUUUUAAUGACUCAUUCGGCGCCUUACG